GCCCACGUAGCCCAAUUGGCAGAGGCGCUCGGUUUAGGCCCGAGUUAGUGUAAGUUCGAAUCUUACCGUGGGUACCA
rnacentral:tRNA from 1 species